UACGUAGGUGGCAAGCGUUGUUCGGAAUUAUUGGGCGUAAAGGGCGCGUAGGCGGUUUUGUAAGUCAGCUGUGAAAGCCCGGGGCUCAACCCCGGAGGGUCGGCUGAUACUGCAGGACUAGAGUCCGGAAGAGGCGAGUGGAACUCCUGGUGUAGCGGUGGAAUGCGCAGAUAUCAGGAAGAACACCAACGGCGAAGGCAGCUCGCUGGGACGGUACUGACGCUGAGACGCGAAAGCGUGGGGAGCGAACAGG
rnacentral:rRNA from 1 species